UACGGAGGGUGCAAGCGUUGUUCGGAAUCAUUGGGCGUAAAGCGCGUGUAGGCGGUCAUCUAAGUCUGGUGUGAAAGCCCGGAGCUUAACUCCGGAAGUGCAUUGGAUACUGGGUGACUAGAGGAUGAGAGAGGAAAGUGGAAUUCACGGUGUAGGGGUGAAAUCCGUAGAUAUCGUGAGGAACAUCAGUGGCGAAGGCGACUUUCUGGCUCAUUUCUGACGCUGAGACGCGAAAGCGUGGGGAGCAAACAGG
rnacentral:rRNA from 1 species